rnacentral:rRNA from 1 species
GACGUAGGGUGCAAGCGUUGUCCGGAUUUAUUGGGCGUAAAGAGCUCGUAGGCGGCUUGUUGCGUCGACUGUGAAAACCCGCAGCUUAACUGCGGGCUUGCAGUUGAUACGGGCAGGCUAGAGUUCGGUAGGGGAGACUGGAAUUCCUGGUGUAGCGGUGAAAUGCGCAGAUAUCAGGAGGAACACCGGUGGCGAAGGCGGGUCUCUGGGCCGAUACUGACGCUGAGGAGCGAAAGCGUGGGGAGCGAACAGG